rnacentral:rRNA from 1 species
GAUGAACGCUGGCGGCGUGCCUAAUACAUGCAAGUCGAGCGAACAGACGAGGCGCUUGCUCCUUUGACGUUAGCGGAGGACGGGUGUGUCACACGUGGAUCAUCCCCCUAUAUGUCGGGGAUCACUUCGGGACACCGGAGCUAAUCCCGGAUAAUCUCUUGAACCGCGUGGUUCAAUAGUGAAAGACGGUUUUGCUGUCUCGUAUCGAUGGAUCCGCGCUGCAUUAGCUAGUUGGGAAGGUCAACGCUUACCACGGCAACGAGGCGUAGCCGACCUGAUAGGGGGAUCGGCCGCACUGGAGCGGGAACACGCACCAGGCGCCUACGGGAGGCAGCAGUAGGCAACCGGCCGCAAUGGUCGAAAGCCUGACGCAGCAAGGCGGCGUGAGUGAUGAAGGUCUUCGGAGCGUAAAACCCGGUUAUUAGGUAAGAACAAAUUUGUAAUGAACUAUGCACGUCUUGACGGUACCGAAUCAGAAAGCCACGGCUAACUACGUG